rfam:Dictyocaulus viviparus strain HannoverDv2000 D_viviparus-1.0_Cont239.9, whole genome shotgun sequence.
GUCUCAGUAGUGCAGUCAGUAGCGCAACAGACUGAACAUACGUUGAUGCGAGUUCGAAUCCCGCCUAAGGUU